UUCUUACUCCCUCCGUCUCAUAUUAAGUGUCGAAAUAUAACAUGUAUCUAGACGCUUCUUAGAUAUAGAUACAUUCAUAUUUGAGCAAAUUUGAGACACUUAAUAUGGGAUGGAGGGAGUAUUAA
rfam:Brachypodium distachyon strain Bd21 chromosome 1, whole genome shotgun sequence.